AUGUUAGAAUAUGUUUUAUUUGUGAUAUCACAUUUACAUCAGCAAUGUUUUAGUAAAGAGAGAACACUGUAUUGCAACUAACUGCUACUAAAAAUUAUCAAGUCUUUGGCUACAUUCCCAAAUCUUUUAGGAGACAUCUGGAAUUAAUGGACCCAUCAUUAUCCUGAGAGUUCUUUGUCUUCUUCAUAUUCAUGUUGACGUCGAACCACAAGCCAAGUAAAGAAUGAUAGUUUGAAGACAUCUGGAGUCACAUGCCUCUUGGGCUGCAGAAAUAAUGGAACCACUUAUGAGAUCUAUUGCAUCCUGGAUGGAGGAGACAUGUACAAGGUUCAGGUCAGCUGUGAGGCCUCAGUGGCCUUUGAGGACUGGCAUUUGA
rnacentral:lncRNA from 1 species